rnacentral:SRP_RNA from 1 species
AUUUGGGUCCCAAGCGGCGGAAGGUCGCGAACGAGUCAGGUCCGAGAGGAAGCAGCUAUAAGCGCAUCCUUCUGGGUGCCUUGGGUAAACCUGGAUUCG